rnacentral:rRNA from 1 species
AUACGGAGGAUGCGAGCGUUAUCCGGAUUCAUUGGGCUUAAAGGGUGCGCAGGCGGACGGUUAAGUCAGCGGUGAAAAGUAUGCGCUCAACGCAUAUCGUGCCGUUGAAACUGGCCGACUAGGAUGAGGCUGCCGUGGGAGGAAUGUGUAGUGUAGCGGUGAAAUGCAUAGAUAUUACACAGAACACCGAUUGCGAAGGCAUCUCACAAAACCGCGAUUGACGCUGAGGCACGAAAGUGCGGGGAUCAAACAGGAUUAGAUACCCUGGUAGUCCGCACAGUAAACGAUGAUAACUCGCUGUUGGCUCGCAAGGAGUCAGUGGCCAAGCGAAAGCGAUAAGUUAUCCACCUGGGGAGUACGACCGCAAGGUUGAAACUCAAAGGAAUUGACGGG